UUACCUUGAGCAGCCAAUUUAUAUGUUUUUACCUGGCUGAUGAUAGAAUUGAAGAUGUAAGCGGUGAGGAGAGGAGAGAGAGGGGAAAAGCGAAAACGAAGCGGUAGAGAAAGUAAAUGUUGUUAUAUUUAUAUUUAUUGUUUUCAGACGAUCAACAAGAAGCGAGCAACGUUUGAUAUAUUCAAUGACAGUUGCUGUCUGUAUAUAUAUGUAUAUAUAUUUGCGGUGUGUUUAAUGUUGGAUGCAUUUCUGCAGUUUAUGCUAUAUACACACGGUUGUGUCAACGAAACAACACGGCCUUCUUCUGCUUCUUCUUUCUAUCCGAGAAUCUGUCAUACAAUAAUAGAUUCCGUUGUUGGCGUCACCGUCAUCACAGAUUUUACCUGGCUGUCAUCACAAAACACAGAAUCGGUACCGAAACUUAAUGACGACAUCGGUAUUUCGGAAAAUUUCUUUAUAGGUGACACACAUACACACAUGCGCACAGGAAGAUGCCCCAUGAUGUGUAGUUUUCAUGAUAAGUCUUCUGUCUGAUAAGGGUCCUUUGUGAUUUUGUGGGUGAUUAAGCUGCUGGUUUUAGCAAGCAGAGCAACCACAGAAAGACUUCAUCUUUGGCUGGUAAAAUCUGAUUGGGUGACUGGUAAUUGUACGUUCCUGACCUUCAAAUAUUAUUAACCUGUAAGGUAAGUAACGUUACCU